UUUAACAAAACAUGUCCUUUUGAGGUGAAUUUAAGGUCGGGCCUGCCCCCUGAUAGUAAAAUUAAAGGGCCGCGGUAUUUUGACCGUGCAAAGGUAGCAUAAUCAUUAGUCUUUUAAUUGAAGGCUGGAAUGAAUGGUUUGACGAAACAUUAACUGUCUCCGUGUAAUGAAUAGAAUUUAACUUUUGAGUUAAAAGGCUUAAAUAAAUAUGAAAGACGAGAAGACCCUAUAGAUCUUUAUAUGGAAUUGUAUAUAUUUUGUUUGGUGGUGUUAUUAAUAUAUAUUUUACCGUAUUUUGUUGGGGUGACACAAAGAUAAGAAUAACUCUUUGUUUUAUAAACAUUGAUUUAUGAAUAUUUGAUCCGUUAUUAACGAUUAUAAGAUAAAGUUACCUUAGGGAUAACAGCGUAAUUUUUUUUGAGAGUUCGUAUCGACAAAAAAGAUUGCGACCUCGA
rnacentral:rRNA from 1 species